GUGAAUUUAGGACUGCCGUAAGGCGUCCAACCCCUCACUUUCUAACUCUGUGCACUAUGUUGGUCUACUUGAGGGAACGAGUUCUUAGAAUUCUAUUACCAACAGUAUGAUCUAUUACCUUUUUUAAACAUCAGUCAAUGAAUGUCAUCAAAUACAAAACAAAAAA
rnacentral:misc_RNA from 1 species